GCAUGUUGGUCGAGCGGACAGAUGGGAGCUUGCUCCCUGAUGUUAGCGGCGGACGGGUGAGUAACACGUGGGUAACCUGCCUGUAAGACUGGGAUAACUCCGGGAAACCGGGGCUAAUACCGGAUGGUUGUUUGAACCGCAUGGUUCAGACAUAAAAGGUGGCUUCGGCUACCACUUACAGAUGGACCCGCGGCGCAUUAGCUAGUUGGUGAGGUAACGGCUCACCAAGGCGACGAUGCGUAGCCGACCUGAGAGGGUGAUCGGCCACACUGGGACUGAGACACGGCCCAGACUCCUACGGGAGGCAGCAGUAGGGAAUCUUCCGCAAUGGACGAAAGUCUGACGGAGCAACGCCGCGUGAGUGAUGAAGGUUUUCGGAUCGUAAAGCUCUGUUGUUAGGGAAGAACAAGUGCCGUUCAAAUAGGGCGGCACCUUGACGGUACCUAACCAGAAAGCCACGGCUAACUACGUGCCAGCAGCCGCGGUAAUACGUAGGUGGCAAGCGUUGUCCGGAAUUAUUGGGCGUAAAGGGCUCGCAGGCGGUUUCUUAAGUCUGAUGUGAAAGCCCCCGGCUCAACCGGGGAGGGUCAUUGGAAACUGGGGAACUUGAGUGCAGAAGAGGAGAGUGGAAUUCCACGUGUAGCGGUGAAAUGCGUAGAGAUGUGGAGGAACACCAGUGGCGAAGGCGACUCUCUGGUCUGUAACUGACGCUGAGGAGCGAAAGCGUGGGGAGCGAACAGGAUUAGAUACCCUGGUAGUCCACGCCGUAAACGAUGAGUGCUAAGUGUUAGGGGGUUUCCGCCCCUUAGUGCUGCAGCUAACGCAUUAAGCACUCCGCCUGGGGAGUACGGUCGCAAGACUGAAACUCAAAGGAAUUGACGGGGGCCCGCACAAGCGGUGGAGCAUGUGGUUUAAUUCGAAGCAACGCGAAGAACCUUACCAGGUCUUGACAUCCUCUGACAAUCCUAGAGAUAGGACGUCCCCUUCGGGGCAGAGUGACAGUGGUGCAUGGUUGUCGUCAGCUCGUGUCGUGAGAUGUGGGUUAAGUCCCGCAACGAGCGCAACCCUUGAUCUUAGUUGCCAGCAUUCA
rnacentral:rRNA from 1 species